rnacentral:rRNA from 1 species
AGUGAACGCUGGCGGCAGGCCUAAUACAUGCAAGUCGAACGGCAGCACAGCAGAGCUUGCUCUGUGGGUGGCGAGUGGCGGACGGGUGAGGAAUACAUGGGAAUCUGCCCAGUCGUGGGGGAUAACGUAUGGAAACGUACGCUAAUACCGCAUGCGCCCUAAGGGGGAAAGCCGGGGACCGCAAGGCCUGGCGCGAUUGGAUGAGCCCAUGUUCGAUUAGCUAGUUGGCGGGGUAAAGGCCCACCAAGGCGACGAUCGAUAGCUGGUCUGAGAGGAUGAUCAGCCACACUGGAACUGAGACACGGUCCAGACUCCUACGGGAGGCAGCAGUAGGGGAAUAUUGGACAAUGGGGGCGAACCCUCGAUCCAGCCAUGCCGCGUGAGU